rnacentral:rRNA from 1 species
AGAGGAAGUAAAAGUCGUAACAAGGUUUCCGUAGGUGAACCUGCGGAAGGAUCAUUAUCGAGUUUUGAAACCAGGUUGUAGCUGGCCUCAAACGAGGUAUGUGCACACCUGGGCUCAUCCACUCUCAAACCUCUGUGCACUUAUUGUAGGUCGGUUGAAAGGCGUUGGUUUUUAUUAUUGUAAAUAAUUAAAUCAAAGCUGGGAAGCCUUCCUAUGUUUUAUUACAAACGAUUCAGUUAUAGAAUGUCACUCUGCGUAUAACGCAUUUAUAUACAACUUUCAGCAACGGAUCUCUUGGCUCUCGCAUCGAUGAAGAACGCAGCGAAAUGCGAUAAGUAAUGUGAAUUGCAGAAUUCAGUGAAUCAUCGAAUCUUUGAACGCACCUUGCGCUCCCUGGUAUUCCGGGGAGCAUGCCUGUUUGAGUGUCAUGGAAUUCUCAACCUUUAAUACUUUAUUGUAUCAAAAGGCUUGGACUUGGAGGCUUUGUGCUGGCUUUUUAAUUAAGUCGGCUCCUCUGAAAUGAAUUAGCGUAAAAUACUAUGAAUCGCUUCGGUGUGAUAAUUAUCUGCGCCGUAGUCGUGAAGUAUUACUUAAGUUUACGCUUCUAAUCGUCCUUCACGGGACAAUUAACCCUGACUUUUUGACCUCAAAUCAGGUAGGACUACCCGCUGAACUUAA